AGAUGACAAUUUCGAACUCUUCCUCUUUAGUCCAAAACCUGCCUAAGAAAACCUUCUGAGGUGUUGCAAACUAGAACUUCCUAUAUACAAGCAGGACAUGCAAAUAGGGCCCUCCCUCAGCUCUUGAAAACCAGUCUCACCAGUAGCUCUGGCACAGGAGCCCCAGACCAGGGACUCCCAGCUGUCACACUCAGGGAUCGCACUCCACACAGACACUCACCAUGGAGGCUGCUCUGAAAUGGCUUCUCCUGGUCGCUGUGCUCCAAGGUGUCCAGUGUCAGCAGCUGGAGGAGUCCGGUGGAGGCUUGUUCAAGCCUGGAGACACACGGACACUCACCUGCAAAGCCUCUGGAUUCACCAUCAGUAGCUAUGCAAUGUGCUGGGUCCGCCAGCCUCCCAAAAAGGCACCCGAGUGGCUCGCAGCAAUUAGCAGUGGUGGUAGCACAUACUACGCGUCCUCCUUGAAGGGCCGAUUCACCAUCUCCAGAAGCACCGCAGACAGCACGGUGUCCCUGAAAAUGACCGAUCUGACAGCCGGGGACACGGCCAUCUAUUACUGUGCCAGAGACACAGUGCAGGGACCUCAGUGUGAGCCCAGACACAAACCUGCCUGCAGGGGCGCGCGGCUCCACCAGGGGGCGCGGUGAGCACUGAGCUGACUUAGACCCUGAGCAGGU